UCCAUUAACUUCAGAGGUAUUUCUCUGGAGUUACAGUUGGUGUAACUAAGAGCAGAAUCUCUCCCAUUCUGUGCUGCACAUUUGCCUCUACACAGAACAGGUUUUCAGAACACUCUGGACAAGAAGUUACAUGUCUAUUUUAUAAAUCGCCUAAAGAACAAGAUGAACUUUCUGAACAUAAGGACAAUUUUUAGGACGUUGGGGGUUUUUUUUGUAUGACGGAGAAGGUGGCUCAUCUGCUUAGCAUCCGGGAGCAUGAGGACUUCAUCAGGAUGCACAUGAAAACAUCUGGGAUAGAGGAUGCUAGAUGAAUACAGUGGCACCAGAGGAGGAAGGAGAACUGGCUGCUGGCCACCUCAGGUGAUAGACAGUGCUUCACCACCCAACCCAGUUCCUCCUUCCAUUGUGGUCAAGAACCAAUAUGCUGUAUUGGCAACAGCAGGUGAGGAGCAGACCCCAAAGGCUAAGGAGAAGGAGUUACCUGCCCCCAAGGUUAGGAAACGUAUGGCCACUGCACCCAAGAGGAAGAGGCCUGGGGUGCUGGUGAGAAGGGUCUCCAUUCUGAGAAGGAUAGAAGCAUUCAUCGGCUGACCUGACAUGAUGUCCUGAGAGGUAUACUGCCUACGGAAAGAUGGCGAAGGCUCAUCUGUCCCUCUGACCACUAUCCCAGGCUGCUCAUUCAUGUGAGCAUUAAUGAUACUGCCAGUAUGACCUGAGAACAUCAGCAGUAUCUAUGGGGUUCUGGGAGAGGUUGUGUUCUUACCCUCAGCUAGGUGGAUGGACAAGGGCCAGGCAGGGACACGCGCAUCUGGGAGAUGAAUGUAUGGCUGUGCACGUGGUGUUGACCAGAGGUCUUCGGCUUCCUCAACUCUGGAAUUCUGCUUGAGGAAGGAGGUCUGCUGGAAAGAGAUGGGGUCCAUCCAACCAGGAAAGGAAAGAGCAUCCUUGCACACCAACUAACCAGCCUAGUGAGGAGAGCUAGGUUCAAAGGGGGCAGGUGACAAAUGCCCCAGUUUAUUUUCUAUAGGUUAAUCUUAAAUUACGGAUUGAAUGGUGACUCUAGGAAGCAUAUGAAGCAAUGCCAGAAAGCACUGAAUGGGAUCAGUGGCUAGAACAUUCAGUGAGUUCAAAAGAAGGAAAUGUUUGUUUGCAUAUGUUAUAUGCACACAAUCCUGGAGUAGCUGCAUGUCUCUAGCUUUUCACUGAGGGCUCAGUUGGUUGUGCAGUUGAUAAAUAGUUACAUGUACUUUCCGUCUUUCACAGAGAGGAAACAGAAAGCGAUAUUACAAUUGUUCUGUGCUAAUUAAUAAUGGUGUAAAAAUAUUCCUUCACUCUCGCCACUCUUGUCCUUUUUUGUUUGAUUCUUUGACCUCUCUUGCAUUAUCUAGAUACAUUAUCCCUAAACACACAUAGUCAGAUCUAUUAGCAUGGCUUCUCAUUGCUUUGAGAGUCAAAUGCAGUGUUAGUUCAG